rnacentral:rRNA from 1 species
UACGGAGGGUGCGAGCGUUGUCCGGAAUCAUUGGGCGUAAAGGGCGCGUAGGUGGCCCCUCAAGCGUGCGGUGAAAGUCAGGGGCUCAACCCCUGAUCGGCCGUGCGAACUGGGGAGCUUGAGCACUGUAGAGGCAGGCGGAAUUCCGGGUGUAGCGGUGGAAUGCGUAGAGAUCCGGAAGAACACCGGUGGCGAAGGCGGCAACCUGGUCCUUGACUGACGCUGAGGCGCGAAAGCGUGGGGAGCAAACAGG